rnacentral:rRNA from 1 species
AGCUCCAAUAGCGUAUACUAAUGUUGUUGCAGUUAAAAAGCUCGUAGUCGGAUUUCAGUAUUAGGCCCUUCUUCCAAUACGGUUGCUUGUGGUCUUUACUUCCUUAACAGAAUCUUUCAUCUCAUUAAUUUGGGGUGUUUGGGGCCUGUUUCUUUUACUUUGAGAAAAUUAGAGUGUUCAAAGCGGGUUUUCGCCUGGAUAUUACUCUUGGAAUAAUAAUAUAGGACUUUGGUUCUUUUUUGUUGGUGACUUAGAACCGAAGUAAUGAUUGAUAGGGACAGUUGGGGUCAUUCGUACUAUGAAGCGAGAGGUGAAAUUCUUGGACCUUUGUAUGACGAACUACUGCGAAAGCAUUUGACUAGGAUGUUCCCG